rnacentral:rRNA from 1 species
GGAAGGAUCAUUACCGAGUGUAGGGUUCCUAGCGAGCCCAACCUCCCACCCGUGUUUACUGUACCUUAGUUGCUUCGGCGGGCCCGCCAUUCAUGGCCGCCGGGGGCUCUCAGCCCCGGGCCCGCGCCCGCCGGAGACACCACGAACUCUGUCUGAUCUAGUGAAGUCUGAGUUGAUUGUAUCGCAAUCAGUUAAAACUUUCAACAAUGGAUCUCUUGGUUCCGGCAUCGAUGAAGAACGCAGCGAAAUGCGAUAACUAGUGUGAAUUGCAGAAUUCCGUGAAUCAUCGAGUCUUUGAACGCACAUUGCGCCCCCUGGUAUUCCGGGGGGCAUGCCUGUCCGAGCGUCAUUGCUGCCCAUCAAGCACGGCUUGUGUGUUGGGUCGUCGUCCCCUCUCCGGGGGGGACGGGCCCCAAAGGCAGCGGCGGCACCGCGUCCGAUCCUCGAGCGUAUGGGGCUUUGUCACCCGCUCUGUAGGCCCGGCCGGCGCUUGCCGAACGCAAAUCAAUCUUUUUCCAGGUUGACCUCGGAUCAGGUAGGGAUACCCGCUGAACUUAAGCAUAUCAAUAAGCGGAGGAAAAGAAACCAACCGGG